rnacentral:rRNA from 1 species
UACGUAGGUGGCGAGCGUUAUCCGGAUUUAUUGGGCGUAAAGCGUCCGCAGACGGUUUGUUAAGUCUAGAAUCAAAGCCCGGAGCUUAACAUCGGUUCGUUUUAGAAACUGGCAGACUUGAGUAUGGUAGAGGCAAGUGGAAUUUCUAGUGUAGCGGUAGAAUGCGUAGAUAUUAGAAGGAACACCAGUGGCGAAGGCGACUUGCUGGGCCAUUACUGACGUUCAUGGACGAAAGCGUGGGGAGCAAAUAGGAUUAGAUACCCCCGUAGUCCCUGAGCGGG